AUUGAACGCUGGCGGCAGGCCUAACACAUGCAAGUCGAGCGAGCGGCGGACGGGUGAGUAAUGUAUGGGGAUCUGCCCGAUAGAGGGGGAUAACUACUGGCAACGGUGGCCAAUACCGCAUACUAUCGUAUGAACCCAUAGGGGAUUAGCUAGUAGUGGGGGUAAAGGCGCACCUAGGCGACGAUCUCUAGCUGGUCUGAGAGGAUGAUCAGCCACACUGGGACUGAGACAAGGCCCAGACUCCUACGGGAGGCAGCAGUGGGGAAUAUUGCACAAUGGGCGCAAGCCUGAUGCAGCCAUGCCGCGUGUAUGAAGAAGGCCUUAGGGUGGUAAAGUACGUUCAGCGGGGAGGCGUUACCCGCAGAAGAAGCACCGGCUAACUCCGUGCCAGCAGCCGCGGUAAUUC
rnacentral:rRNA from 1 species